GAUGAAUAUACCAUUAGAAAAAAUGUGGCAGUGUAAGUGUAAAUUACUAGUUUUUUUUUUCCUAUUCUGCAGAGAGUAGCAAUUAUAUUGGUUUCAAGAUACAUAAUAAGAAAGUAGGUUUUCUAAAAUCUUACUGCCAUGAUCUUUAAGUUAUAAAACACUGGUGAAUUUUAAAAAUGUUUUGUUUCUUUUUUUCAUACAAUAUAUUUUGAACAUUUUUUCCCUCAAUACUUUCGCAGAUCUUCCCCCCUCCUUAUCACCCAAUUUUGUAUUCUUUCUUUCUUUCAAAAAAUAAAACAGAAGAAACAACAAAAAAACCAAAACCAAACAAAAAACCUGAGAAAAAGAAAAAAGAAAGGACAAAAAUUCAUUAAACAACUCACAAAGCAUGGGCACACACACUCACAAACAAAAUGCCAACACCAUGGAGUCCCUUUCAUGUUGGCCAAGCACUCCUGCGAAUGGAACCUUCCCUGGGAGUGUGGUAGAUAGAUCCAGUAACACUCCUUUGGAGAAAACUGCUUUUCUGCUUCCCAGAAACUAUCAAUCAGUUGCAAAUAGGUCCUUGGUUAGGGUUGGGACUUUGUAUCUUGUCCUCGUUGCUGGGACUUUGGUUGAAUCUAUGGAGUCUUGUGUGUACUGCCACAGUCUAUGAGUUGUGUCUGUAAGAAGCUGUUUUCUUUAGAACCAUUCACCAGAUUCUUUCUGCCUCUGCUUCUACAUAGAUCUCUGAGCCUUAAGGGGAGGGCUCUGACAAAGACAUCCCACUUAGGGCUUAAGUGCUCAUAAGUCUCUCACUGUUUGCCCAGUUGUGCAUCUACUUAUUGGUUACCAUCGACUGCAAGAAGCAGCUUUUCUAUGGAGGGUUGAACAAUGCUCUAUGGGUAUAGCAGGUCAUUAGGAGUCAUUUGAUUGCUAUGUUCCUUUAACAGAACAAUCGGUUUUCAUCUAGACCUGCCACCAAUCCAGUGUCAGGUUACUGGGCACUUUAGCAGUAUCAUGUUUAGGUUCCACAUUAUGCCACCACCACACCAGUAUGUCUUUCAGGUUUGUUGUAUGUAGCAAGGUUUGUAGCCAGGUGAAAUUGGUCAUAACUUUUCUCCUCUAGUAGCUGACAAAGUACCUUGUAGUACCAUGAAUCAGUAAGUGGGAGUGAAGCUUCUCAUACAGCAGCUUGAGUUCUGCAAGCUUGAUGAGAUAAGUUGUGUCUUCAGCAAUAAUGCCUUACCAUCAUGUUAGUGAAGAGUAACCAAUAGGUUUGGCAAAAGCCUGUAAUGGUUUAUGGGGAGGAGGCCUAGCUAGAGAGCUAUUUUGGCCAGUGAUUUAAAAGAUGUAACCCAUUCCUAACACUAGAGGUUUUACUUGCUGGUAUGUCUUGUUGGGACAUUCUCUUCCAUUAUAUGCUGACGCUGUUUAAAUUCCUUUCAUAUAUGUAUAUUAGCAAGCCUCUACAAUGUUUCUAUGUGGCUUUUCAAAAGGCCUUCAGUGUUGUCUCUCUCCAUAGUCCCACCUUUCCCCUGCCUUACAUUCUUCCCCUCAUCUUAGUCCUCCUAUCUUGGCUUCCCUUUUGUCCCUUUACAACACUAGAUUCUAUUUGGUUCUUAGUGUGAAGAUUGUCUCCCCUCCCCUGGUCCCUCACUCGCUAUUUAACCUCAAUGGUUAUUCAUAUUGAAACACAUAGCUAAAACACAAAGUUAACAUCCAGAUAUAAGAGAAAAUGUGAUAUUUGUCUUUUUGGCCUAGAUUACUUCAGUCAGAAUGGUGGUUGCUAGCUGCAUUAAUUUGUCUGAAAAUUUCGCAAUUUUUUUCUUUAAAAUUGAAUAGUGAUGUAUUUUUGUGUAAAUACACCACAUUUUUAUUGCCCACUCAUCACUUGCUGGCCAUCUAAGCUAUUUCCAGUUUCUGCUGUAAUGGAUAGAAAAACAAUGAACAUGGAUGAGCAAGUUCCCAAGAGUGGUGUGGCUAGAUCUUGUGGAAGAUCUAUUGCUACCUUCUGGCAGAGCUACCAUUCUGAUGUUUGUAGUGGCCAUAGCAAUUUGCACCUCCAUCAGCAAGGAUUAAGUGUUCCCUCUUUCCUGCAUUCUUGCCAGCACAUGCUGCCGUUUGUUGUUGUAUUGAUCAUGGCCAUCCUGACUGGGGUAAGAUGAAAUCCCAAAGUAGUUUUAAGUUGUAUUUCCUUGAUGGCUAAGGAUGUUGAACAUUUUUAAAAAGUGUUUUUUUUUUCCAGUCAUUUGCAUUUCCUCUUGUGAGAACUCUAUUAUAUACCCCAGUUUUUAAUGGGGUUAUUUGUCUGAUGUUCAUUUUUCUGUUCUUUAUAUAGUAUUGAAACUAAUCAUUUAGCAGAUCGUAAUUAAUUAAAGAUUCUUUUUCCCUUCUGCAGGGUGCUACUUUUCUUGAAUGAUGGUGUCCUUUGCUUGUUACUGAAACUUUUUAGCUUCAUGAGAUCCCAUUGUUGUUCUUAAGGCCGGUGCUAUUGGCAGCCUGUUCAGAAAAUCUGUACCAAUGGGUCCGAGACUUUUCCCCACUUCCUCUUCUGUCAGGUUUAGGGUAUCUGGUUUUACUUCGAAGUAUUAGAUCCAGUUAGAGUUGAGCUUUAUGCAGGUUGAUAGACAGUGUGAUCCAUUUUUAUUCUUCUAAAUGCAGCUAUCUAGUUUGAUCAACACCAUUUCUUGAAGAUGUUGUCUUUUCUUCAGUGUAUAUUUUUGGUUUCUUUGUUAAAAAUCAGGUGUCUGUAUGUAUGUCAAGUUAUGUCUGACUUUUCAGUUCUGUUCUGUACUGUUCAUAUGUGUAUGUGUGUCUAGUUGUCUUAAGUUUAUCUUGCCUACAGCUCCUUAUGUAGACCAGGCUGCCCUCCAAUUCACAGAGAUCUACCUUCCUCUGCCUCUCGAGUGCUGGCAUUAAAGGUGUGCAUUACCCAGUUGGCUCAAUGUAUCUGUUUUAUGACAGUCCUAUAAUGUUUUUAUUGCAAUGGCUCUAUAAAAGGACUUGAAAUCUGAGAUAAUGGUACCUUAAAAUGUUUUAUUUCUUAAGUCUUAUGUGUGACUUUUCAGAUAUGCCAAGCGUUAGCCUCAGGAUCUUCUGUACAUACUUCAUUUCACAAGGUUUGUUUGAUUCUGUUUUAUAAGAUUGCAUAGUACGUGAACCUAUGACACUAUUCUCGUGUACUUAGACCAUCUAGGAUUAUACUUAAAACAAUGUAAAUGCUAUGCAAAUAAGCCUGGACCCUUAGGAAAUCACAUGGGAUCUCCUCACUGGCUUUGUGGAUUUGGUAGUACAGGUUAUGCUGCUUGAUAGAAGGUAGAGAUUGCUUUUAGAUAGCCCAGGCCGGACUUAGACUCACUGUGGGCCCAAGGGUGCUCUUGAACUCUUUAUGGUCUUGCUUGUGCCUCUGACCCACUUGGGUUUUGUGUUUCAAUGCAUAGUCUCUAUUCUACCUGGAACUGUAACAAAAUAAAUAGAAAACAUUUAUUUCAUCUGCAGGACCUGAUGAACUGCUAAGAAGAACUGAGUUUUCAAUUUAAUAGUCACAUGGAACAUAGUUUGAAAUUUCUUGGGGUCUAAUAAUGUUCGUUAAUUGAUACACUUGCCUGAAUAUAACUGUGACAUUAAGUUGAAAAUAGUCUGCUGUUUUUUUUAAAUUUCCC
rnacentral:lncRNA from 1 species